UACGUAGGCAGCGAGCGUUGUUCGGAAUUACUGGGCGUAAAGGGCGCGUAGGCGGCCUUCUAAGUCGAACGUGAAAUCCCCGGGCUCAACCCGGGAACUGCGUCCGAGACUGAAAGGCUUGAAUCCGGGAGAGGGAUGUGGAAUUCCAGGUGUAGCGGUGAAAUGCGUAGAUAUCGGGAGGAACACCGGUGGCGAAGGCGGCCCCCUGGUUGGAUACUGACGCUGAGACGCGAAAGCGUGGGGAGCAAACAGG
rnacentral:rRNA from 1 species